rnacentral:rRNA from 1 species
CCUACGGGUGGCUGCAGUGAGGAAUAUUGGUCAAUGGGCGGGAGCCUGAACCAGCCAAGUCGCGUGAGGGACGACGGUCCUAUGGAUUGUAAACCUCUUUUGUCGGGGAACAAAGGCGCCCACGGGUGGGCGGAUGAGUGUACCCGAAGAAAAAGCAUCGGCUAACUCCGUGCCAGCAGCCGCGGUAAUACGGAGGAUGCGAGCGUUAUCCGGAUUUAUUGGGUUUAAAGGGUGCGCAGGCGGAGGCACAAGUCAGCGGUAAAAUCGCGGGGCUCAACCCCGCUCCGCCGUUGAAACUGUGUCCCUUGAGUGCGCGAAGGGUAGGCGGAAUGCGUGGUGUAGCGGUGAAAUGCAUAGAUAUCACGCAGAACUCCGAUCGCGAAGGCAGCCUACCGGCGCGCAACUGACGCUCAUGCACGAAAGCGUGGGUAUCGAACAGGAUUAGAUACCCUUGUAGUC